UGUAAUAAGGUAAAAUACUAUUCAAAAUUCCCAAAAUUUAUAAUAGUUGAGAAUGUUGAGAAUUAUAGCUUGAUGUUAUUUACAGGUUGCUGGUUUGCAAAAUGUUGAUCAAUUAAUAUUUCAGAUUAAAAUUCUAAAUUAGAUUGAAACUAAUCAUUAAAGUGGUAUAGAGCUGGUGUCUUUUUAUGUUUCUUUCCUCUUUUGUCCAGUAAAAUGCAAUUUAUGGCAAUGAAUAGUAUGUUCUUCUGCCUCCUCCACAUAAUUUUUGGAAUGGACCACAAAAGUUACAUUGCUGCUAAAUAAUAACUUAGAAUCUUUUAAACAUUUUCAUGAUAUUAAUUUUGUAAAAGUUUCAAAAUUCAGUAUAAAGGCUAAAAUAUAAUAAAAUAUUAUAAGACCAUCAAAUGGACUAUAUAAAUUACCAAUCAGAUCUUUUGGGCUUUUCUUAAACAAAAUGUCAAGGGCAUAUAAUAAUUGGCUAUCUGUCAUGACCUUUGCAAGGUUUUUACAACUUGGAAUCUAAACAAAGCUUCACAGAUUUCACUUAAGAGCCCUGAAAAUUAGUAUCUCAUUCCUCAAGCACUUUCACUGCCUUUGCCAUUUAGGAAAGCUUGAAUGAAGAGCAUGGGACAUUAUGUUCCAGGAAAGUGGUUAAUUUUCCAGGCUGCUUUGAAAAUUGUACCCUUAAAACAAACCUGAAAAAAAUAUUUGUGUACUAUUCAAACAGUCUUAAAUGGAUAUUGAUUUAAUAAAGGAAAAGGGCUGCUGUUUGUAUGUCAUUAGAACUUCGGGGUUUUCUGUAAAUGGAAAGUUUCUAAUUGUCUUUUAUGUGCAAAAAUAAGUGUUUUUAUGGAGGAAUAUUAUUGUAUGUUAUGGAUUCUUAUUGUUAGGCAAUCUUGUUAAUUAUUUGCUUAAAAAUGGAAUAAAACUGGAUAAGUGGGCUAAUGACCAAUAUGCAAAUCAGCAUAUAAGGUCACAUUUUAAUUAUUAGGUAUUUUUGUGAAAGUUGUGCAAUAUCCAAAGACAUGGGUAGAUGACAUACAUGAAAAGUUUAUGGCAAAACGAAUGAAACCACAGGGUUUGUAGAAAAUGAACUCAAUUUUCUUAUUUGUACUUUCAGAGGCAAGAAUUGCUUAAAUUUAAGCAGAGUACUUAAAUUUUUGGUUGGCAAUAUGGGCAGAUAGGGAAUUAAAUCUCUAUGUCUCAUCCCAAUUCUUUUAUAAACUAUAGAUAAUGAGUUAUUACAAAGGAACAAAGUUGUACUUUUGCCCAUAAUUGGUGAGAAGCCUAAGAAAAAAUAAUCAACAGAAAUCAUAAUAAGAUGUAACCUUAUUUGCUUUACAAAAGUUAUAUGAAAUUCAUUGCAUUAUGUUUAAUUACUUUGCCACCUAUAUGAUUUUACAAAUACAAUACUCAUUUAGCUAUUUUUAAAAUGUGUUAAUUAUGUAGGAAUUAUAGAAGAAUUAAGGUUUAUGAAAAGUAGGUAUAUUACAAUAUUUCAAAAACUGGGAAUUCCAAAUCUGCUUGUCCUUAAAAUUGGCAGUGCUUUGUUUUAAAGUCUGGGGUUUUUUUACAUACAAAAUUCUAACUGGAAAUAUGCAUUAAAUUAUUUUAUUUCAACUUUUUAUUGUCAUAUGUAGAACGGGAGAAUAGUAUAGUUUUCUUCCUCAUCUAACUUUACAUUAGUUACAGUAAGGUUUCAUUGCAUCUGCUUAUCUACUAAGGGAAACUGCAGUAUCUGAAUAUAAUUUCCUAAAAGAAGAACAACUUAAAAGGGAGCAGGUAUCUGUAAAUAAGUAGAAAUGCAACUAGGAAGAGGUUUUGUCUCCUGCCUUCUAAACAGCCCACAUUUUUUUUUCAUUGACAGAAUUGUUGGACAACUCUAGAAAUAAAGGUGGUUAAGCAUGCCCAUGAAUUGCAGUGGUUAAAAUGUUAACAAGUCUCAAGGACUCUUGCUUUGAAUUUCUCAGUCAACCAAGGAGCUUUCUGUUGAUUUGGCAGUCAUGCUCCCUAGUUUUACUUACUACAAAUCUGAUGAAAUAAAGAGAUAACUUCCAUUUAUACUGCUUUGAAUCACAUUGUUAAAAAUUCUAUUAUUAAUAUAUUGGUAGGGCUUGAUUUGAUUAAUUAAUCCCACAAAAUGGUUGCAUUUUUCAAAUCCGCACUAUUCCAGAUGAUUCUUCUGUGAAAAAUAUGGUAAUUGAUUCCAUCUCAAGAAAAAUAGGUAAUGAAAAUGAUACAUUUUAUAUGUUUAUGAAAUAUUGCAAUAGAUAAAAAUAUACACUUUAAAUUCAUGGUUAACAAAAUUGCAUAGUAAUUCUAGAAAACAAACAUUGUACUCUAUAAAUUCAGGCAACCCAAUAUCUUAUCAUUAAAGUACCCUAUUUUAAUGUUACUAUGACCAUAUUCAUGUUAUUGAAUUACAUUGUUUUUUUCUCUGUAAUGUCCUAAGAAACUUUUUUUUAAUGUGUAUUGUUUUCCUCCAUUAUAAGGAAUAAGAAAUCUCAAAUAAGGAAUCUUCCAUUCCUCCAUUUUGUACACAUGAAGAUUGUGCAUGUGUGUGUGUGUGUGUGUAUGUGCUUGCCUUUGAGUCAGUGUGGCUGCUGAUUGCCUGAGUCACCCAAUUGGCUUGGUGCCUGAGGUGGGACUAGAACUCACGGUCUCCUGGUUUCUAGCUAGGUGCUUAAUCACUACACCAAACUGGCUCUCGCAUGAAGAUUAGCAGCAUCUAAAACUCCAUCUGCAAUUGAGCAUGCACUAGCCUCUGCUUUAUGCAUGUUAGCCUCACGUUAAUUCUAUUUUAAGUUACAGUCCAUCUGACUUGAUAUCAACUUAAAAUUUGCACUCAAUGGAAUAUUGCAUUAUUCAAACACUAAUCACAAUCUACCUAUAUAAUAUUGUUUUUAAUAAGUCAUUUACAAACUAUUAAUUCAAAACACUGUCAUUUUUAAAGCAAAGAUUUUGUUAAAUGUUGUCCAAUUGCACAUUAUGUCUUUUCUGUGCAACAAAGAUACAAAGUGUAAAAGUUAACUACCAAAGAAAUGGCAAGCAGUUGUUGCCUCAUAUGCUGCCAUUUGUAGUACUACAUUCCAACUUUGAAAAUGUAACUUCAGUAUCAUAGUUUCAAAUUUCUCAGAAAAUGUGGAACCUGUUUUCAUAAGAUUUUUUUAAUAAAAAUAUUUACUAA